rnacentral:rRNA from 1 species
UACGGAGGAUGCAAGCGUUAUCCGGAAUUAUUGGGCGUAAAGCGUCCGUAGGUGGCUAAUCAAGUCUGCUGUCAAAGCGUGGAGCUUAACUCCAUACCGGCGGUGGAAACUGAUGAGCUAGAGUGCGAUAGGGGUAGCAGGAAUUCCCAGUGUAGCGGUGAAAUGCGUAGAGAUCGGGAAGAACAUCGGUGGCGAAAGCGCUCUACUGGACCGCAACUGACACUCAGGGACGAAAGCUAGGGGAGCGAAUGGG